CUGACUUAUCUAAAUUUAGUAGCAAAAGUGUAAAUAUUAACAUCCUAUUAUCUGGAUAUAUAAUUAAAAUUUUUGUAUACAACUAGGGCAAUAAAAGGAAAUACAUAAAUUCACUUUAAAUUCAAUAAACCUAAGAAUACUAAUACCCACAUCCAUAGCACGUGACCAAAGCUGUACAAAAAAAAAUUGCAUGAAUUUAUGAGAUUGUGUUGUUUUCUUCUGUUUUAGGAUAUAAUUAGUAAACAUAAAUACCAAAAUCAAUUACUUAGGACACGAUAAAAAUGAAAUACAAAUAUAAUUAAUAAAUAAGCCUAAGAAGUAAUUCUUUUUUUUUUUUUUUUGAGUUUAAAUGCAUUUUAUUUUUAGAGAACCUACAUGACACGUUUUUCUUAAAAACAAUGCCUCCACUCCAAAUAAAUCACGGUCAAAAUAAAUGAAGAGCUCAAGAUCACAUCAGUCCCACUUGUCUUAAGUCCUGGUGUGUGGAUGACAAGCAGAAGCCAGUUAUGAUGACAGGCGAUAGAUUCAAAGUAAUUGCCAAAUUUGUUAACAUUUUUCCAUUUCUAAACCAUCCUUAAAGAAAAUCAUAUAUGGGGUCACACCAUCCUCACGGUAGUCCAAUAGAGCAACCAUGCCAUCUGGAUUCAUGUUUUCACCAAUAAAGAACUGGUAGUUUUUGAAAUUAGGAAGGAUGUGCUUGAUUUGUUGGCAGCCCCCGUCAUAAAAGGUUUUACUCUUUCUGGUCUCUGUUCUUCAAGUUUGCCUUUGAUUCUUCCCCUCCACCUCCAGGCACAGCCCGUCCGCGAUCUCCCGGAUCUUGUAGAUGUCAGAGAACAUCUCAUCGUGGCUGAUGAGAUCCCGGUAGAUAAUCAUGAUGGCGGCUGACGGGAGAGGACUGCGGAGCUAGCUUAGCAGGAGCCCGACGCUCGGAACGAGCGCCGUGCAGCCGAAGCGCCGCUAGCGGGGAGGGGGGAACGGGCGGAAAAGCAGAAGUAAUUCUUAGAAGAAAGAAAAUAAACUGAAAUAUACAAAACUUUCA
rnacentral:lncRNA from 13 species